rnacentral:rRNA from 1 species
UACGGGGGGGGCAAGCGUUGUUCGGAAUUACUGGGCGUAAGGCGUGUGUAGGCGGCCCUGCAAGUCGGAUGUGAAAGCCCUUGGCUCAACUGAGGAAGUGCACCCGAAACUGAGUGGCUUGAGUACUAAAGAGGGUCGCGGAAUUCCCGGUGUAGAGGUGAAAUUCGUAGAUAUCGGGAGGAACACCGGUGGCGAAGGCGGCGACCUGGGUAGAUACUGACGCUGAGGCGCGAAAGCGUGGGGAGCAAACAGG